rnacentral:rRNA from 1 species
UGGGGAAUAUUGGACAAUGGGCGAAAGCCUGAUCCAGCCAUGCCGCGUGUGUGAAGAAGGUCUUCGGAUUGUAAAGCACUUUAAGUUGGGAGGAAGGGCAGUAAGCGAAUACCUUGCUGUUUUGACGUUACCGACAGAAUAAGCACCGGCUAACUCUGUGCCAGCAGCCGCGGUAAUACAGAGGGUGCAAGCGUUAAUCGGAAUUACUGGGCGUAAAGCGUGCGUAGGCGGCUGAUUAAGUCGGAUGUGAAAUCCCUGAGCUUAACUUAGGAAUUGCAUUCGAUACUGGUUAGCUAGAGUGUGGGAGAGGAUGGUAGAAUUCCAGGUGUAGCGGUGAAAUGCGUAGAGAUCUGGAGGAAUACCGAUGGCGAAGGCAGCCAUCUGGCCUAACACUGACGCUGAGGUACGAAAGCAUGGGGAGCAAACAGG